GAGACCAGGGAUGAGGUGACCAGUAAUGAAAUUGGAACAAUACAGAGAAGAUUAGCAUGGCCCCAGUGCAAGGAUGAUACGCAAACUCAUGAAGCAUUCCAUAUUUUU
rfam:Biomphalaria glabrata isolate BB02 unplaced genomic scaffold LGTN_random_Scaffold1733, whole genome shotgun sequence.